rnacentral:rRNA from 1 species
UGGGGAAUCUUGCGCAAUGGCCUAACGGCUGACGCAGCGACGCCGCGUGAGGGAUGACGCUCUUCGGAGUGUAAACCUCUUUUGCCUGGGACGAAUUGUCAGCAUCAGCUGACUUGACGGUACCGGGUGAAUAAGCACCGGCUAACUCCGUGCCAGCAGCCGCGGUAAUACGGGGGGUGCGAGCGUUGUCCGGAAUCACUGGGCGUAAAGGGCGCGUAGGUGGUCUGAUAAGGGUGUGGUGAAAGCCCGGGGCUCAACCCCGGGUCGGCCGUGCCGACUGUCAGACUCGAGUACUGUAGGGGCAGGCGGAAUUCCGGGUGUAGCGGUGGAAUGCGUAGAGAUCCGGAGGAAGACCGGUGGCGAAGGCGGCCUGCUGGGCAGUUACUGACACUGAGGCGCGACAGCGUGGGGAGCAAACAG